UUCGCAAUGCCCGAAAGGGUGACGAAGCGACGCCGCGUGGGUGAGGAAGGCCUUCGGGUUGUAAAGCCCUGUCAGGAGUUAAGAAAUAUAAGUGCGCUAAUAUCGCAUUUAUUUGACGAAGGCUCCAAAGGAAGCCACGGCUAACUCUGUGCCAGCAGCCGCGGUAAUACAGAGGUGGCAAGCGUUGUUCGGAAUUAUUGGGCGUAAAGAGCACGUAGGUGGGUUUGUAAGUCAGAUGUGAAAGCCUUCUGUUCAACGGAAGAAUUGCAUCUGAAACUACAAGCCUUGAGUGUAGGAGGGGAGAAUGGAACUUCUGGUGGAGCGGUGAAAUGCGUAGAUAUCAGAAGGAACGCCGGCGGCGAAAGCGAUUCUCUGGCCUAUUACUGACACUCAGUGUGCGAAAGCUAGGGGAGCAAACGGGAUUAGAUACCCCGGUAGUUCUAGCUGUAAACGAUGGGCACUAAGUAGAGGGGUUUU
rnacentral:rRNA from 1 species